CUCAGGCAACGACCCGAAGGGCGAAGCGCGCAGCGCUGAGUAAUCCUUCCCCCACCACCA
rnacentral:sRNA from 1 species